GCACCAUGUCGUGCACAACACAUCACAUGCGUAUUCAAGUUUCGUUCUUACUAAAGAUUUAUAGGCUAACAGCUUUACAUGCAAUGGAGCGAAGCGAAGAUGGCGUUUUAGAAAUCCCAAUGUUUUGUUAGCCGAUGAAAUUACAUUAGUAACAUGCACAUUCCAGGUUAGGUCAUUAGCCAAGGUGACACCAAAGUAUUUGUAGGAUACUACUAAUUCAACAGAGACGUUACUAAUCCGAUAAGA
rnacentral:lncRNA from 1 species